AUUUGUACAUAAGUUUGUUAAGAUUAUUUAGACAUCAUUUAACACAAUAAUUUUAAUUAAUUUGAUAAAAAAGAAAUUGAAAAUCACGUAAAACAUUUUCGAUUAAUUUCAAAGUAUUUGAUUAUAUAUUUUCAAUUUGAAGACACGUAUUGUUUUACACAUUCGGCAAGAUGAGAACGUAUAUUCGAUUAAUCAUUUUUAUCACAGUAUGUGUUUUAGUAAUGGCACAAGAACAACAAUUCCUUCUUGAGAAUGAUUCGGAAGAAUCGGUUCCAUUGGCUGAGAGAUCGAAAAGAUGUGCAGCUCCUGGAAAGGGCAAAGGCAAAACUAAGGUCUGCUUGGUGGGAUCAUCCAACACAUACUGCCUUGAGCAGACCGGGUUGGCCUGAAUACAGGUGAAAAAAAAUCUAAGAGUUUAUUCCAUGAAAUAAAGUGUGUAUUCGUUUCAAAU